CCUACGGGAGACAGCAGUGAGGAAUAUUGGGCAAUGGACGCAAGCCUGACCCAGCCAUGCCGCGUGAAGGAAGAAGGCUUUCUGGUUGUAAACUUCUUUUCUCAGGGACGAAAACAGUGACGGUACCUGAGGAAUAAGCCACUGCUAACUACGUGCCAGCAGCCGCGGUAAUACGGAGGUGGCAAGCGUUAUCCGGAUUUAUUGGGUGUAAAGGGCGUGUAGGCGGGAGCGCAAGUCAGAGGUGAAAACUCGGGGCUCAACCCUGAGCCUGCCUUUGAAACUGUGUUUCUUGAGUGCUGGAGCGGCAAGCGGAAUGCCGGGUGUAGCGGUGAAAUGCGUAGAGAU
rnacentral:rRNA from 1 species